rnacentral:rRNA from 1 species
CCUACGGGUGGCAGCAGUGGGGAAUAUUGGGCAAUGGAGGCAACUCUGACCCAGCAACGCCGCGUGAAUGAUGAAGGUCUUCGGAUUGUAAAGUUCUGUGAUGGGGGAUGAACACAAUGACGGUACCCCAAUAGCAAGCCACGGCUAACUACGUGCCAGCAGCCGCGGUAAUACGUAGGUGGCAAGCGUUAUCCGGAAUGACUGGGCGUAAAGGGUGCGUAGGUGGUUUGACAAGUUAGUAGCGCAACUCCGGAGCUCAACUUCGGAACUACUACUAAAACUGUUGGACUUGAGUGCAGGAGGGGCAAUCGGAAUUCCUAGUGUAGCGGUGGAAUGCGUAGAUAUUAGGAGGAACACCAGUGGCGAAGGCGGAUUGCUAGACUGUAACUGACACUGAGGCACGAAAGCGUGGGGAGCAAACAGGAUUAGAUACCCCAGUAGUC